rnacentral:tmRNA from 2 species
GGGGGCGAAAUAGGAUAGACAAGAGUGUAAAGGUUGAAAGUUCGCUCGGCAUAGUACCGCCGUUAUCGGGCUAAAAAUGUAGUUGCAAAUGACAACUCUGCUAGAGAAGUUCUCGCUGCCUAGUCAGUGUGAUUUCUCACCUUAACUCCUGAUGGGUUGCACUAUCAGGCGGGGUUUGGAGGCACCUGGCAACAGAAGCCUCUUUA